rnacentral:lncRNA from 10 species
UAGUAGCAGUGGAAGUGGUGAGAAAGAGUUGAAUUCUGGGGAUACAUUUUGAAGUUAGAGACAACAGCAUUUUCUGUUGGAGUAGUAGUGGGGUCAGAGAGUAGUUAAUUAUGAUCACAAGCAUUUUGGCCGGAGCAGCUGGAAGGAUGGAGUGGACAUUUGUUCAGCUGGAAAAGACUUCAGGGGAAACCAACUGAGGGAAAAGAUGAGGAGUUCUGUUUCAGGCUUGAUGACCAUGGAUGAAAAAUAUGUAAACAGCAUUUGGGACCUUCUGAAAAAUGCAAUUCAAGAAAUCCAGCGUAAGAAUAACAGUGGUCUUAGUUUUGAGGAGCUCUAUAGAAAUGCAUAUACAAUGGUUUUGCAUAAACAUGGAGAAAAGCUCUACACUGGACUAAGAGAAGUUGUUACCGAACAUCUCAUAAAUAAGUGCAUCACAUCAGGAGGCACUUGAUGUCAGUUUAUCCCAUUAUUGGUGAUGUUAACUUUGAUCAUUGGUGUCCGCCAGAUUUCUCCACUGUAAAGGUGCGAGAAGAUGUACUAAAUUCAUUGAAUAACAA